CGAUACGAUGCCCUCCCUGGCUGUCCUGUAACUUUUCCACGAGCAGGAAGGCAUCCGGGGAGGCGGGAGAUCCCGAACAGGUGGUUGGGGCCCCUGCGAAUAAAACUCUGGAUCCUAUUGAAGUUGCCUCCAGAUGACAGCGAAUAAUUUCUUGGUACCAUUUGGAAGUGAGUUGCAGGCAUGCACCUUCAACCUAAGACAGAAAGGACCCAACCUGAGCAGCAAAGGAUUGCUGCCGAGGAAAAGUCGUCCCCACACCCCGGAGGCCCCCAUGCCCCACUGCAGCCCCCCUGGGAUCUUUUCUUCCCAUCCCAGGUCCAGCUCAGCCCCAUUCGGCAUGUGACUGUCCUGUGACUUCUGUGUCCCUUGGUGAAGGAGAGAACCCCAGACUGGCCAUUCCUCCACAUUAUCCGCGAUCUCAUCAAAAUAUCCAUUUCCUUAGCAGGAUGUCAGAGAAGAAAAAAAACCCCAGCUUCCUGCAAAGCAUGUGGGAGGCUACAGCACUCCUGUGGGUGUGACAGCGACAGUCACCAAGGCCUCAGUGAAGGAAAGCAGCAGCCAGACACAGGCCGUGGCCGGGUGCUCACAGCGGCCACAAGGCAGAGACACUCCUGGGUGUCCACCAGCAGGUGCAAGUGGUGCACCCACACACGGAGCAUCAGUUAGCCAAGGAGUGGAGUCCUGCCACAUGCUCCACGUGCACAGACCCCGAACCCAUGGUGCUCAGUGAGACACCAGACACAGAAGGCCACAUAGUGUGCGACCCCAUUUCUGUGGAACGUCCACAGCAGGAGAAUCCACAGACAAAAUAUAGGCUUGUGGGUCCCGGGGAAGGGUUGGGGUGACUGCUCAUGGGGAUAGGGCUUCUUUUUGGGAGAUGGAAUGUUCUGAAACUGGAUAGAGGUGGUGGUUACACGACUGUGAAUGCUCUACAAAUGAGUGAAUUAUAUACUCUUUAAAAGGGUGAAUUGUGUGGCACAUGAAUUACAUCUCAAUGAAAAUGUUACCCCUGAAAAAGCAGAAGAUUCUGGGGUGGUUGUGUUCACAUCCACCUGCCCCCCCAGUGCCAGGCAUGCUGGUCACACUGCUGGCAGCCCAGCCCAACCCACUGCUUGCCUGCUGCUGGGCUCCCCCCAAACCCCAGAAAUACAGCCUCUGUUUUGUAAGUGGGGACCAGGCUUGCCUGAGGUCAGGCAGCUGGCAUGGGGCACAAG